UAAUAAGCAAAAAGAUCAAGCUAAUGACAUUAAAUUAGUGCUUCUUAAGAGACGAUUCAAUUUUUACUUUUAAUCUUUGAAUUUAUUUAUUUCUUUUGUUUUAUCACCCUCUUUGUUCACUUUAUAAAUGCUCAUUUGUAAUAUUUUAUUGUUUCCUUUAAAACAUCUUCACAUGACCAUCUUUUUUUUUGAAAUAUUGGAUCAGCUAGUGGUUAGGAGAAAUUAUUAUCAAAAGCAGUAAGCAGUUAAUCAAACAAUCCUCUCCCAUGCAAUGUCGUGUUUUCUUUUUGACGUCUUUAUGCUAGGACAUCAAAACUUACGAUGGCUUACUUUUGGUGGGGUCAACGAAAUAGAGUGAAAGGUACGAUGGGCUUUCGUAAUUUUCCAUGUGCUCCACCAAACUCAAACCUCUACGUGAUUUGACAACAACAUUGGAGCCUAUCACAACUCAGGCAAAAUUGGGAAUGAAAUCUAAUGUUGAAAUGCGGCAAUAAUAUUUUUAUCCACCAGCCCAUUUGCAAACAAAUUUCCUAAUAACUGUAUACAGUUGUACUAAAUUAAAGGAAUCGGUAUCUGCCAAAACCUGCCUAUAAUAUACAAUCGCCUACAAGCAAAAACCUAAUACACAUGCACCUUCUCCAAAACUCGGUAUCUCGAGGGGUAAAAUGAAUCCAGUACUCAACCAUCGUUGAAUUUAGGUAUCCUUUGACAUCUAUGUUGAUCGGGUAUCCAAUUUAACUGCAAUGACACUUGCCUUCUGUUUUAAAUGAACAUCUCAUGAGAUGCUCAUGUAAGAGUUGCAAAUAGAUGGCAGCUCACUCCUUCAAUCUACAGAGGAUCAAUAGAACCACUUUUAAGUCUCUCCAUUCGGGCUUGAAGCCCUGAUAAUGCCUUCUCAUCCAUAGGAAGAACCCCUCCCUGUACAGGAUUUUCCAUGCCAACAGAGUCUGACCCACGGGGAGCCUGACCAGAGAAUCCAUUGUUGAAGUUGUCAUUCAGACUUGUCAAUGGCCUACUUCCAGAAUCUGGAUUUCCUGCAGAGGCAGCUAACUGCAUACUCUUCAUCCUUUCUCUAAUUGCAUCUAGCGUUCCACUGGUUACUCCACUAAUAAACUUCUCAUUUCUUUGGUCCCCAAAAGAAUUCUCAGACAUGAGACCUCUUGACAUAAUGGUAUUACCAGUUCUGUUGUCUUCAGUGUAAGAGGGCGGUAGAUGAAAGUUUGUUGGUUCAGAUUUCACAUUCAAUGAUUUUGCAUCAUUUAAAGAGUUUGUAUGAACUGGAGACAGUGGGGCGAAUUCUGGGGACGAAACUGUUAGAGCUGAUGGUGGGGGGGUUGACAUUGGCAAACUAGAAGGCGUCCUUCCAGCAGCAGCAUUUUUCUCCAUCUGUGCUAAACCAUCUCUAAUGUAAGUCCGGAAUGCCUCACUAGCAUUUUGGAGCUGAGCAAAUAUAUCAACCUGCAAUGAAAAGUAAAUUUUUGGAAAAUUAUAAUAAAAAUGAAAAGUCCAAACCCAUGGCCCAGGAUAGCUCAGGGUUUACUAUAGAAGAAGAAAUAAGGGAUUGGGGGAAUCCAGCAACUCAGCAACAGAAAGAAUGGCUGACGAAGAUUGAAGAAGCAUGCAUAUAGAAAAGCUCUUUCCCUUGGGGAAAAUUACCGAUAGAAUGCCACCUGGAGAUUCUAACUUAAAAUCGGAAUGCUAGCGAGCCUACAAAAAGCCCUGGGGGAGAGAAGGAGAUUAUGUGUGUUCUUUUCUAUUAGUUAGCAAUUGGGCUUGGGAGCAGAUGUUGAUCCUGCUAGGGAAUGGUUCUGGAAUUCAUGAAGUUUUAGCCAUUAAUCUCUUUCUUUACGUAAUUCUUCCUGCUUGUUCCUGUCAUUAUUUUUCAUUCAUUACCCUGUCAAAUUGAUCCAACACGCCAUUUAUCCACAUCAUGAAUGCCAACAUUUUGGAUGGAAUCCCGAGUAGAACUGAUAGAGAGGAAUUUGCUGCUUUGAAGGAAACACUUCUCCAACUACAGGGAGGCAGAGAGCUUAAUGAACAAGUCAAUUGGUUAUGGGAAGAAAUGGCACAGGCAAGAAAACAUUUGGAAAAGUUUAAUGCCAUUAAGGGAUUACUUAACACUCUACAAGGUGAAUCCUUUGUCCAUCGUCAACCACCACAGACCGUGCCAGGAGAUGAUCUUCCCUUGGCUGCAAACCGCAUCAAGUUACCUAGUUUUGAUGGCCAGGAACCCAUUGGUUGGUUGGCUAGAUCAGACCAGUAUUUCAUCAAUCAACAAACUCAUGACGAUGCCUAAGUAUUCAUAGCUAUGGUUUGCAUGGAAGGUAAGGCAUUGCACUGGAUGCAUUGGUUGUGUCAACCCUCUCCUAUCAUGACUAGGGAAUAAUUAUCUGUGGAGUUGAUAUGCAUCACUAUGGAGGAGAUACGAUGGCCAAUCCUUAUGAGUGAUAAGCUAUUGCUCAACAAGAGGGCUCCGUUGAUGAAUUUAUUGAUACAUUUGUGGCUUAAUCUGCACAAGUUUCAUGUCUUUCCGAUAAAAAAUACUUAGGCUAUUUUCUCAAUGGAUUGUUGGAUAAUUCAACUGAUAUUUUUCACACCAUGACCCUAGCUCAAGAAAUUGAAAGGGAGUUGCAGUUUGCCUCAUCAAACAAGGCAUCACUUGAAUUUAAUGAUGGAACAUGUACCGACCUUCAUAGUGCAGUUAGGGGAUGACCACCAAGCUACAUCUAAAGGGAUUUGCAGAAGCAUACUCCUAGAAUUGCAAUCUUUCAAAGUAAAUACAGACUGCUAUCUAUUUCAAUUGGGUGGUGUUCAUAUAAUACUAGGAGUUGCAUGGCUUGAAAUCUCGGGUAAGGUUCGCAGCAAUUGGGUUACUAUGGCGAUGACAUUACAGAAUCAAGGUACUCAUUAAAUUAGAAGGAGAUCCUUCCUUAAGCAAUGGUUUUUGUCUUUACCCUGCAUAAAUUAACAGAUAUCAAGUCCUGAUCAUUGUUAUGGGAAUACCUCAAAAGCCAAGUGGAUAUGAACUAUGUACCAGGGCUUAUCCACAACCAAACUCCAUCUCCUUGAACAAUAUGCCACCGGUCUUAAGGGAAUCCACUACUCUUCCCUCCCAUUGUGCAACAGAUCAUAUCAUUCCAUUGAACCCAUGCACCUCUCUUGUGAGUGUACAUCCCUGCCAUUACUGGCAUUGACAGAAAGAUGAGAAUGGAUGCUUGGUAGCUGAAAUGCUAGCUGCAGGAUUCAUUCAACCAAGUGCUAGACCAUUUUCAAGGCCUAUCCCCUCUUAGUUCAAAAAAAUAUGGCAGCUGCAGAUUUUGUCGACUACAAAGCACUGAAUAAAGCAAAUAUUCUGAACAAAUAUGCCAUUCUAGUAAUUCAAGAAAUUUUAGAUGAGCUCUUUGGUGCCACUUAUUUUUCUAUACUAGAUUUGAAGUCUGGCUAUCAUCAAAUUCAAUUCUCAGAUGCAGACAUUCCAAAAACGGCUUUUAGGAUGCACUUUGGGCAUUGAGUUCCUGGUUAUGCCAUUUGGCUUAUCCAACGCCUUCGCAACAUUCAGGCCACGAUGAAUGACUUAUUCCGGCCUUAUCUUUGCCGAUUGUUCUCAUCUCUUUCGACGAUAAACUAGUAAUAUAGCGAGACUUGGGACCACAAUUUGAAGCAUCUGGGAGUGGAAGCUCUCUGGUCCAUACAACUGUAGACCGUCUGGGCCAUAUCAUCUGCGCCUGUAGUAUUGAACUGGAUCCAACUAUAAUUAGCUCAAAAGUCCAAUGUUGUCAGCUCAAGUCCAUAAAGGCAAUCCAUAGAUUUCUCGGUCUCAUGGGCUACGCAAAUUCAUUAAAGGGUAUGGUUCCUUGGCCCAACCAUUGACUCGAUUACUCAAGAAAAAGGCUGAAGGCAUAUCGGCUUGCAACCCUCAAGCCCAGCAAUCCUUUGACAACAUAAAAACUUCUUUGGCUUCCUCCCUUGUCCUUACCAUGCCUGAUUUCAAUAAACACUUUGUUUUGGAAUGUGAUGCAACUGGAACAGCAGUUGGUGCAAUGGUCAUGCAUGAUAUAAGGCCAAUUGCUUACUUUAGCAAGGAGAUGAUGAAGUUGGGUUCUUUGCAAUACAACGGUGGCGGAUGUCAUGCUAUUUCUCAACCAAAUUGACGGUAUUUGGAUGAAAUUGAUGAAGCAAUUCAACAAGAUCCUCAUUGGCAGUAAUACAUCUUGAUUUACAAAAUGAUCCUUCUUCCCACGGCCAGUUAUCCCUCAUUAAGAAUUGCUUAUAAUACAAGGGAAGGUUAGUAGUUACCAAGCACUCCCAAUGGGUUCCAGAGCUGAUCUCCGAGUUUCUACACCAGUAGGUUGAUACUCUGAUGCUUAUAGAACUUUCGUUGUUUGAAUCAAAUCUAUAUUUGAGGGCGAUAAUGAAAUCAAUCCAGAAAUUCAUAGCUGCAUGUUUACUAUGCCCAAAAAAUAAAUAUUAAACUCUCUCACCUACGGGUUUGUUAAAACCAAGUGUUGCUGAUAUUGAUGGUAAUUUGGGAAAAUACAUCAAUGGAUUUUAUCACAGGGCUUUCCCUGUCUCAAGGAAUGGAUUGCAUCCACGUUGUGAUGGAUAGGUUAUCCAAAUAUGGCCAUUUUUUUAAGACUGAAGUAUGCAUGCCCUGCUAAAUCAGUUGCAGAAUUAUUCGUUCGCAACAUGGUAAAGCUGCAAGGCAUGUCCAAAUUCAUUGUCAAUGAUAAGGAUCCUCUUUUCAUUCUAAGUUCUGGACUGAAUUAUUUUGUUACAAGGCACAAAGGUUAAGAUGAGCACAGCUUAUCAUCUGGAAACGGAUGUGCAGACCUAAGUUCUCAAUAGAGCUCUAGAAACAUACUUGCGAUGAUUGCAACAAAACCAAAGCAGUGGCAUAAAUGGUUACCUUGGGAUGAAUUCUGGUAUAAUACCAGUUAUCAUACAGCUGCUGGAAUGUAUGGCAGACAACCUCCCACCAUCCACCAAUAUUUAGUAGGAGAAACAAGAGUAGAGGAGGUAGCCCAAGAACUAGCAGGUAAAGAUGAAAUCUUGCAGCGAAUACAAUUUAACUUACGAAGAGCCCAACAAAAAAUACAAAUUUUAAAUCAUUAAUUUCUUUGCUUCCUUAUUUCUUGUUGUUUGUUCAUGUUCCUGAAAGAUUAUUGAGGAAUUUGGUUGGUGAUUACAAAUCUUGUUUAAGAAAUUAAUACAAAUUUCCUCAUUCCAUCUUCCUGACAUUAUUUUUCAUUCCUUUAUCAUUCCAAUAGCAAGAAUCUAAUAAUAUCUAGUUAACAAAAACAUUUGCAACAUCUACCAAAGAGGCAUGGCAGAAUCUACUCACCUUGGGGUAUAAUUGUGUAAUGCGAUAAAGUUCAUAUAGGCCAAUCGUACAUGUUUGCUUGUCCCCAAUUUUCUUGAAUAUGGCAGCAAGUUCUUGCUUCAACUGGGAAUCAGCAGAAUGUGUGGCAGAUGAUGAAUUGUUGGCUGCAGAAUCACCCCAAUGGGUUUGGCCUGCUGGCCCUGUUGAGGUUAACAUUCUUGCAGCAGCUAAAGUCUCAAGGUUAAGAUCAAUGUAGGCAAGGAUAAUUGGCUGGGGUUUCAUAUCUAUAGGAACCAUUGAAAGGUGACCCUUUAUUGCAGCCCCACGAAGCUUGACAAGUUCAUGUAGAACAGUUUUCACCAUGCGCAAUGGCUUGUCAUCCGCUCCAGCUCUUCUUCUAAUUUCUUCCAUUCCCAAAUCUUGCAGGUAUAUAUGGAUGCCUUGAAGGAUGCGGUCAAGAUCAACAUCAUAUAUAGUGCUUUGAAGAACCUUUGUAAGUUUAAUUAGGCAUUUGACAACAAGAUCAGAGAACUUCUGAUUUCUGACGGCAACAGUCUCACUCAAUGCAGGUGAAGGCCACCUUGAGGGAUCUAAUGGACGUAGGAGAUUGAUCAGGACAACAAAGGAUGAAGUUCUAUCCGCAUUAUCCAAAAUCUUAAGCAUCAACACGUUCAAUGCUUUCAGUAGUUGGCUGCCAUCAUCCAUAUGGGGAACCCUUUCAUCCAAUAGCCAAAGUAGAAGCUCUGUUAUCAGACUGUCAAGAGUGCUUUCUUUGACAGCAUGAGCAAGACUUUUAUUUUGAAAUGUCUGCAUGAGCGUGUUAAGGACAUAUUUACAAGACCUUGAUGAAGCUCCAGUCAAACUGAAAUCAAAAGUCUUGGCUACCUUGCUUGCCAAGCAUGAAACAAGUCUAUCAGCAUCUUUCACAAGUUCAUCCAUUGCAUUCCCUUCCGGAUCACUAGUGGCCUGUGCCAACUCAUGGCACACAACUUUCAUUCCUUCAACUGACUGAUCUGGGGAGCCAAACGAAAUGAUAUCCAAAGCUUCAUUCCAGUCUGUGGGUCCAUUGACACUACUAACUGCACGAGGCAUUAUCUGUCUUUCCAUAUUAAGCUCAUGAGGACUGUAGUUUUUCCUAGAGAAUGCUGGGCCUGAAAUAGACUGCGAAACUUCCCCACUUUGUUCCGCUAAAUCAGAUCCAUUUUCCCUAAUAGAACGUCUUAAAGCAGCCCUUGCAUCACCUGGCCGGCCUUCCUUUCUCUUUUCCAUCUCCCGGACCUUCCACUUAAAUCUAUCAUCUAACAUGCUUUUCUGAGCAUCUGUGAGCUUUCCGACGUAUCGCCAUAUGUCCUCACCAAGAAUCUUAUAACCAGUAGCAAGUGUAUUUAAAGCAGCUUUCCUAAUUUCACCAUCUCGUUCGGCUGUCAAGCUUGCAACAACUUGCAAGUAUUUUAACUGUCCACUAAUCUCAGCCCCGUGAUGAUCAAUCAAGAAUCCAACAAGAUCUGCACACUCUAUCCGCGUGCGGUUGUUUUUAGACCGCAAACCCUCCAAAAUAUGAGGAAAUGUUUUUGCCGCAGAAUAUGCAUGAACAAUUUGUUUGGUAAGCUCACGCAUCUUUUCUCGCACUUUCUCAAUAUUAUGCCCCAACUUUUCUAUCAAGCAAGGAAGAAAUAUAGCAGCUUCUGAUUCAGUCAAUGUGUAGCCUUCAUCCCUAAGCAUGACAAAAAGUUCUGGAAGGAAUUCCAGCACCUUCAAAAGGCAUGUCGUGUUAGAUUUACAAAAUUGCAAAACAAACCACCUCAGAAGGAUAUCCAAAACUUCAAUUGUUUCCUUUACAAUUGACGGAAGUGCCUUCUGUAGCAUCUCAAGCCCCUCAACUUGUUUCUUAAAAUCAGCACUUAACAGCCGCCUGUGUAGAUCCUCUCUGAAAAAUUUCAUCAUGUCAUUCUCAAGAUCUUGAAUCUGUUCUAUCCGUAACUCCUCAAAUUUAAACCUACGGACUACCAUUUUUUCUCUGUCCUCCUUGUUUGAGUCUUUGACAUUCAGCAAAGCUUGAGACUGAACAGCUCUAUCCUGAAUGGACAUUAUUGGCUCUGGCCUUGAGCCUUUAGUUGGAAUGACUCUCGAAGACAUGGUUCUAUUAGUGUGUUUUGGGACACCAUUGGAAGCAGGUUUUCCAACCUUUGAGCUUGUCUUCAAAGUUGACGCCAUUGAAAUUGAUUUUGCAGAUUCAAACGAUUCUUGGAAAGCCCCAUAAGGUUUCAGUCGUUCAAGAACAAGAGUUAAAGCAGGCCCAUGAAGAUCUUUUAGAUUCUUCUCAAUUAUUUCUUGUCCAGAAACCCUCAAAACCUCAGCGAUGCAUGCUUCUGCCGCUUUUCGAACAUCUGAAGAUUUAUCCGCCAUAGCAGAGCCAGCUGGUUUCAGCAGAUGUACAGCAUCAGAAAAAUCACUUAACCCGGAAAGUUGUCUUGACAACCAAUCAAAUAGAUCCUUACGCCCUUCAGCACCAAGCUUAGUGUCCAUCAAUGCUGCUGCAAGAUAAGGGAUCAUUUUAUCUAGAUGAACAGCAGCUGCCCAAGAAUCUAUAGUAGUCAAAGCACACUCUCUCAUAUGUUUCUUAUUAUCACCAAGACACUUCAAAAUGUCUGACAGAAUGCCCUUGCUUGACUUCUCAACAGCAGGCCCCAUCGCAGAUGCAACACCCCCAAUGGUGGUUAAAGUAGCCAUAACUAAAUUUUUAUUGCUGUCAUACAAACGCCCUCUAAGAGCACCGAAUAAUUCACCAGUUCCAGUUGGUUGAAUGCGUUUAUUAGCCUCUUCCAAAAUUUUAUUGACAGCUUCAAUUGAUUCCAAACGAACCUUCCAAUCAGGACUUUCCAUGCUCUUCAGCAGGACAGGUGUAACUUUCCCACUAAUGUCUUCACGUGGCAGGCUGUCCAACCCACCACCAGACACAGAAGUCACAGAUUCGGACGACUUAACUGUUUUUUUGGGAACAGCAGAAGCACCCUCAAAAGGAUUUUUUUCAUACUCAGCAUCUAGAGCACUAAGCAGAGCAGGUUUAACAUCAGCAAGAAACCCUUUGAUGUCUGGACCAACAAAUUUAUGCAAAGCACCCAAAAGUUUAAUAGUGGCAUUUCUGCUAGCAGCCACACUGGACUGCAAUCCAAUAUCUUUACAGAAAUCAAUUAGAUCCUUAAGCUUCAAAUGUGAUAUACCAAAGUCCUCAACUGCUGAAACCAUCCACAAUAUUCCCUCACUGAGAACCUUAGGAUUCUUGUGCUCCUUCAUGAUCUUGUAAAGUCUCUCAAAAAUAAAUGCAGGGCCUACUGCUUCAGAAAAAGUGGUAAGGCACUUCAUGGCGUGAGCUCUGGUUUUAAUAUCUGCUACUCGUUCACUUAUACCCAGAAGGCAAAGCACUACACAUUUCUUUGGGAAUUUUGAAGCAGUUGAAGCUAGGUAAGUAAUAACUUCAAUCAUCUGUUGCUGAACCUGAACAUUUUUCUCACUCCAACCAGGAAUGGCACAGAGUAAACGUAUCAAAAUCUCCACGGAUCGAUCAAGGUCUUGUAAUCCUUCAACUUGUUGUUUCAAUGAGGUUAUAGCUUCAAGCCGCUCUUUCCACACAGUACUCUUCAAUUGAGAAACAGUUUCUGCUCGUAUAAGAGAGCCUAACCUACUUUCAAUCUCUUCAAGGCUCAUUUCCGCUGGCUCAACAUCUUCAGGAGCUUCAAUCGCUUUUGAGAUUUCAGGCCGCCCAGCUCCAUCUCCUUUCUUGUUGGCACCCGAUUUAAGAGGUCCUCCCUUUUUGUUAGAAGGAGCAGCUGGAACAGGCUUCUUCCCUGUAAGCAUGCUUGCAGCUGACUUUCUAACAAAUGAGCUUUCUGACGUCUCACCAGAGGACAUGCUCCCACUAGCAGCUUGAACUGUAGCUGAGCUUGCACCACCUGACACAUUGCCUCCUGAAACUGAAAUCAUUUCAGACAGCUUCUUUCUUCUUACAUCAUCAAGUUUCUCCAGUGACCUCUCCAAAGGCCUCAUGCCAACCGACUUAGCAACAGCUGCCAGAGCUGAAAAAGCUGAAUCCCUCACUUCGGGGGUCCCAUCAUUAAGGCUCUCCAUACAAACAGGGACAUAAUCCUUGUGCACCUUUAGAAUAGUGGCCUUGUUACUGGUUUCAAUACAAAAGGUUACCCAGUUCAAAGUUAACGAGCGCACAAGAGGAACUUUAUUUUUUGUAGCUGUCUUAACAUCUUCAACAAUAUCAACAAGAUUUAAGCAACCAGACUUGUGCAUUGCUUGAAGAGUUUGUGUAAGUGACUCAGUCAGAGAAGGUUUUUUCUCUUUCAGUUUUUCAAGCAAAACUGGCAAUAAGAAGCGAGAACUCCCAGAAAAAUUGGCUCUUAGACCCCUUGCAAGAUUGCCUACAGCUUGGAUGGCUUCAACCGCAACAGCCAUGUUCACAUCUGUAACAAGCUUCUUCAGUGUCCGGCAAACUUCCGAGAAAUCACCAGGGGCUAUCCUUUUUGUAGAAGCAAGCUUGGUCAGCUCUGCAACAGCCUCCUUUCUUUCUGACCACUUGGCAGCUUUCACUCCAUCCCAAAAUCCAGAUUUCUCCAAAGGAGUCAAAAUAUCUACAGGAUCGACAAGCUCAUACUCAUCUAUUUCCUGAGGAGCAUCAGCUACAGCUUCUUCUGAAUGGCCAAUACCCACGACUUCAGAUACAGCUUCUGGCUCCGGCUCCUUGUCUUGCUCAGAUCUGAUCUUACGAGAUGGCUUAGCAGCCCCCACAACAUUAACAAGCUCAGCCUCCAGCUCUUUUUUCAUUGUAUCCCUCAUCUUCUCAAACAAUAAUGAUUUCACUGGGUCUUUCCCAAUCCAACGACAAAGCUCUAGUGUUAGUCCUUUAGAGGAUGCACGAACAUUCUGAUCCUGAUGGUCAAACAGUUCUGGAAGCAUCUUCAGAAUCCUCUUUGGAGGAACAACUUUCGCUCCAAAUUCACUCAACGCUUGAAACAUAACAUCAAUUGCAGGCACAACAGCUUUUGCAACUUUGUUCUUAAUUGCUUUCUCCAUAGCAUCCAAAAAAACUUCAACAGCCUCCAGCUCCACCCAAAGCAUGAAUGCUGCCUGAGCCUUCUCCACUGUUUUUGGUCGACCAGUUAAGCAUUUUGCCACAAUAGCAUCACAAACUUCUUUUGCAUACCUUCCAGCAUCAGCAUCCGCAGCUCGCAAGUAAGCUAUCAGCGCAUCAAGAGCCUUCUCUUGCACAGGCGCAUUCGAAUCUGCCACGGUCUUCUUAAAAAAGGGACCUAAUUCGCGAAGGCGUGAGUCCUUUGGAUCGGUGAUUGAAUCGCAUAAACUAGCCAAAUCAAUGUUAGCCUCGUUCCUCACCUUCCAGUUCUUGUGCAAUAAUCGAUCUUCCCACGGCAACUUCUUCGCCUCCUUUAACAAUUUCUCUUCUUCCGACAUUGUUUCCCUCACAAUCUACACCUACACCUUAUCGAUCUCCGUAAUGCAGAUUUUCUUUCCUUUAUUCUGCUUUCCUUUGUUUUUUUUUUUUUCUCUGCCGAUUGCCGGCGAGAUAUAGAGAGCGGGCGGUGCUGGAGAGGAAAUGACAAAACCAGGAGACGAC
rnacentral:misc_RNA from 1 species